GUCACACCAUCUGUCAGGUGACAAGAUUUCUGCGAAUUUGAGGACAGAGACACUCUCUUCACUCCAUCUUAGAUGCGUUCUGACAUUGUCAUUGAUGCAGACCUGAGGUGGUAAUGCUGGCUAGGAGAGUUGCAUCCACCCAGUGGAAGAUCACAAGAUGCCACACAGACUCUUUAAGGUCCUGGUACAUGGAAAGUGGUCAAGCCGUGGUGGUGAAGGUCGUGACUGAGAGCCAAAAAGGCAACGCAGGUGGGAUCAUACCUUGUGGCCAUUGCAGGCCUGGUGCUUCUGCUCUUCACAUAGCCUGGCUCUGACCCGGAUGGGAGUAGCAUCCCUCCC